rnacentral:rRNA from 1 species
AGUGAACGCUGGCGGUAGGCCUAACACAUGCAAGUCGAACGGCAGCACAGUAAGAGCUUGCUCUUACGGGUGGCGAGUGGCGGACGGGUGAGGAAUACAUCGGAAUCUACUUUUUCGUGGGGGAUAACGUAGGGAAACUUACGCUAAUACCGCAUACGACCUACGGGUGAAAGCAGGGGAUCUUCGGACCUUGCGCGAUUGAAUGAGCCGAUGUCGGAUUAGCUAGUUGGCGGGGUAAAGGCCCACCAAGGCGACGAUCCGUAGCUGGUCUGAGAGGAUGAUCAGCCACACUGGAACUUAGACACAGUCCAGACUCCUACGGGAGGCAGCAGUGGGGAAUAUUGGACAAUGGGCGCAAGCCUGAUCCAGCCAUACCGCGUGGGUGAAGAAGGCCUUCGGGUUGUAAAGCCCUUUUGUUGGGAAAGAAAAGCAGCAGGUUAAUACCCCGCUGUUCUGACGGUACCCAAAGAAUAAGCACCGGCUAACUUCGUG